GAUGAAGAACGUAGCGAAAUGCGAUAAGUAAUGUGAAUUGCAGAAUUCAGUGAAUCAUCGAAUCUUUGAACGCACAUUGCGCCCGCCAGCAUUCUGGCGGGCAUGCCUGUUCGAGCGUCAUUUCAACCCUCGAGCCCCCCCGGGGGCCUCGGUGUUGGGGGACGGCACACCAGCCGCCCCCGAAAUGCAGUGGUGACCCCGCCGCAGCCUCCCCUGCGUAGUAGCACACACCUCGCACCGGAGCGCGGAGGCGGUCACGCCGUAAAACGCCCAACUUUCUUAGAGUUGACCUCGGAUCAGGUAGGAAUACCCGCUGAACUUAAGCAUAUCAAUAAGCGGAGGA
rnacentral:misc_RNA from 1 species